CCGCAGUUCCCUCCUCAGGACAUACUCACUGAAUUGGGAUGAGUCCACUCCUCCGCCGCAGGAGCCAGCAAUCUCAAAGCCACGCUGUUGGAGACGCUCCAGAACCUGUAGAUGACGUAGAAGAGCUAAAAUGUUGCAGCUGUUUCUGAUCUCGCAGCCUUGCAGACAUCUACCGACGUGUCCGGGGGGGCUGUAGGAUCACAUUCCAUCGAAGAGGCCCCAGGGAGCAGUGAGGUUUUCUCUCUGCCACUUGGCUCAGUGUGGGCUGCCGAGCAAAACCUCCCCUUCCCUUCCCUUCCCCUCCCCUGCCCUGCCCCAGGCCCAAGCCUCCGCCAAAACUACAAAGGUCCCCCUACUGCUGGCAGCUCUCUUUGCUCCCCUUCCUUCUCCCAGCCUCCCCCACUCCCCUCCGCCUCCCUGCCUCCAUUAGCCGCAGAUACAGCAUUCACCGCCGGCGUGCUUUAAUAACCAAACAGGAUUAUGGGCCCUGCCUGGGGACAACCUGCCAGGGAGUGUGCUCACUCUCUUGCUUGCUCUCCACUGCUCACACACUUCAGAGAUGGGUUUUUGUUUGUGUGUUUUUGGAAAGGAGGUGGAAAUUUCACUUCUACAGAUAGAGUCCAAAUCAUUGUGAAAUCUUUGCUAAAAUGCCUCUCUUCCAUCAGUUAUUGAUGCGUAUUUGAGGACAUUACCAUCAAUGAAUCAGUGGAAUAUCAAUAAAAAAUCACAAAAGUGAA